AACGUAGGACGCAAGCGUUAUCCGGAGUUACUGGGCGUAAAGCGCGGGCAGGCGGUUCUGCCAGUCUGAUGUGAAAUCUCCCCGCUCAACGGGGAGCAGCCAUUGGAAACUACAGAACUGGAGUCUGACAGAGGUAGGCGGAAUUCCGGGUGGAGUGAUGAAAUGCGUAGAGAUCCGGAGGAACACCAGAGGCGAAGGCGGCCUACUGGGUCAGUACUGACGCUGAGCCGCGAAAGCCAGGGGAGCGAACGGG
rnacentral:rRNA from 1 species